UCACAGUGCAAGAGCAGAGCCUUCAGAGAGUGACAAACGCAGCCAGCGACACAAACUCUGCGCUUCAGAGAGCUGACGAGGCCUCAGUGUGGGAUUAAAACACACAGAGGAGAGAAUCUGCAGAGAAUGAGAAAUGAUGGAGAUCAGGGUGAAAGAGUCUCUUUUUGUCUUUAACUUUACAGAACUGCUGUUUGUUUCUGCUAUCUUAUCCAUCUUAUGAAGAGCUGUUGGUGGAGGAUUUUUCCCAAAGUACUGUAACCCUGCUGCAACAUGCAUGUUCAUGUAACCCUGCUGCAACAUGCAUGUUCAUGUAACCCUGCUGCAUACAUGCUCCAGUGACACCAUUACACGUUUAUAUAACCUAGUUAC